UAGGUGUUGGCGGACUUAACCCUGCCAGUGCCGAAGCUAACGCGUUAAGCAUCCCGCCUGGGAAGUACGAUCGCAAGAUUAAAACUCAAAGGAGUUGACGGGGACCCGCACAAGCAGCGGAGCGUGUGGUUUAAUUCGAUGCUACACGAAGAACCUUACCCAGAUUUGACAUAUAGGUGGUAGUGAACUGAAAGGGGAACGACCCGCAAGGGAGCCUAUACAGGUGUUGCAUGGCUGUCGUCAGCUCGUGUCGUGAGAUGUUGGUUUAAGUACCCUAACGAGCGCAACCCUUACUGCCAGUUACAAGUGUCUGGCGGGACUGCCGGCCACAAGCCGGAGGAAGGCGAGGAUGACGUCAAGUCAGCAUGGCCUUUAUAUCUGGGGCUACACACACGCUACAAUGGGCAUCAACAAUGGGUAGCCAAGCCGUGAGGCGGAGCCAAUCCUCAAAACUGCCCUCAGUUCAGAUUGCAGGCUGCAACCCGCCUGCAUGAAGUCGGAGUUGCUAGUAAACGCGCGUCAGCCAUAGUGCGUUGAAUACGUUCCCGGGUCUUGUACACACCGCCCGUCACACUAUGGGAGCUGGUAACACCUGAAGCCGGCAGCCUAACCGCAAGGGGGGCACCGUCAAAGGUGGGACUGGUGACUGGAGG
rnacentral:rRNA from 1 species